GUGGGGAAUAUUGGACAAUGGGCGAAAGCCUGAUCCAGCCAUGCCGCGUGUGUGAAGAAGGUCUUCGGAUUGUAAAGCACUUUAAGUUGGGAGGAAGGGCAGUAAGUUAAUACCUUGCUGUUUUGACGUUACCGACAGAAUAAGCACCGGCUAACUUCGUGCCAGCAGCCGCGGUAAUACGUAGGGUGCAAGCGUUAAUCGGAAUUACUGGGCGUAAAGCGUGCGCAGGCGGUUUUGUAAGACAGGCGUGAAAUCCCCGGGCUCAACCUGGGAAUUGCGCUUGUGACUGCAAGGCUAGAGUACGGUAGAGGGUAGUGGAAUUUCCUGUGUAGCGGUGAAAUGCGUAGAUAUAGGAAGGAACACCAGUGGCGAAGGCGACUACCUGGACUGAUACUGACACUGAGGUGCGAAAGCGUGGGGAGCAAACAGGAUUAGAAACCCUGGUAGUCC
rnacentral:rRNA from 1 species